rnacentral:rRNA from 1 species
UACGUAGGGUGCGAGCGUUGUCCGGAAUUACUGGGCGUAAAGCGUGCGCAGGCGGUUGUGCAAGACAGAUGUGAAAUCCCCGGGCUCAACCUGGGAAUUGCAUUGUGACUGCACGGCUAGAGUGUGUCAGAGGGGGGUAGAAUUCCACGUGUAGCAGUGAAAUGCGUAGAGAUGUGGAGGAAUACCGAUGGCGAAGGCAGCCCCUGGGAUAACACUGACGCUCAUGCACGAAAGCGUGGGGAGCAAACAGG